CAUGUAGAACACGGGAGUCCCGGGGAUCAGCGGGGCUGAGAGUGGGCACAGCCCUUUCGAGGGACCUGCCCUGACCGUCACACCUGAUCCGGGUAAUGCCGGCGAAGGGAGCGACAAUGCCGAACUC
rnacentral:ncRNA from 1 species